rnacentral:rRNA from 1 species
UCCCGGGAACGUAUUCACCGCGACAUGCUGAUUCACGAUUACUAGCAACUCCGGCUUCAUGCAGGCGAGUUGCAGCCUGCAAUCCGAACUGGGAUCGGUUUUUAAGAUUUGCUCCUCCUCGCGGUAUUGCUUCUCUUUGUACCGACCAUUGUAGCACGUGUGUUGCCCAAGGCAUAAAGGGCAUGAUGAUUUGACGUCAUCCCCACCUUCCUCUAAGUUAACCUUAGCAGUCCCUUUAGAGUGCUCAACUUAAUGUUAGCAACUAAAAGUAGGGGUUGCGCUCGUUGCAGGACUUAACCUAACAUCUCACGACACGAGCUGACGACA